rnacentral:rRNA from 1 species
UACGUAGGAGACAAGCGUUGUCCGGAAUUACUGGGUGUAAAGCGCGUGUAGGUGGUAGGCCAAGUCUGCUGUGAAAUCGCCCGGCUCAACUGGGCGCGGUCGGUGGAAACUGGUCAACUGGAGGACGGUAGAGGCGAGUGGAAUUCCCGGGUGUAAGUGGUGAAAUGCGUAGAGGAUCGGGAGGAACACCAGUGGGCGAAGGCGG